GUUAUAACGGANGCGCCUUGGGCUGUCGCCGUCCUNNNGGACGUGCACGCUCAGAGUGCUCUCUCACAUCCAUCUCACCCUUUUGUGCACCAUCGCGUGGGGCCCUUCUCUUUUGGCUUGUUCCGGAGAGUGGGGGUUCACGUUUUUAUAAGAACGACCCAUCAAUGCAUGUGUAGAAUGUCUUACAUCUUGCGGUCACACGCAAUCAAUACAACUUUCAACAACGGAUCUCUUGGCUCUCGCAUCGAUGAAGAACGCAGCGAAAUGCGAUACGUAAUGUGAAUUGCAGAAUUCAGUGAAUCAUCGAAUCUUUGAACGCACCUUGCACCCCUUGGUAUUCCGAGGGGUGCACCCGUUUGAGUGUCGUGAACACCCUCAACCUUCUUGGUUUAUCGACCAGGAAGGAUUGGACUUUGGAUGUUGCUGGCCUCGUUCGAAGCCAGCUCUUCCUAAACGAAUUAGUGGGGUCUGUCGUGCCGACCCUCGACGUGAUAAGUACGCUUCUACGUCNCGNCGUUGGCCUGGAAUCCUGCUUCCAAUCGUCUUUGAAUGGAGACAUCUUUAUAAACCUUGACCUCAAAUCGGGUGAGACUACCCGCCGAACUUAAGCAUAUCAAUAAGCGGAGGAAAAGAAACUAACAAGGAUUCCCCUAGUAACUGCGAGUGAAGCGGGAAAAGCUCAAAUUUAAAAUCUGGUGGUCUUUGGCCAUCCGAGUUGUAAUUUAGAGAAGCGUCUUCCGCGCUGGACCGUGCACAAGUCUCCUGGAAUGGAGCGUCAUAGAGGGUGAGAAUCCCGUCUUUGGCAUGGAAUCCCAGGGCUUUUGUGAUGCGCUCUCGACGAGUCGAGUUGUUUGGGAAUGCAGCUCAAAAUGGGUGGUGAACUCCAUCUAAAGCUAAAUAUUGGCGAGAGANCGAUAGCGAACAAGUACCGNNAGGGAAA
rnacentral:rRNA from 1 species